rnacentral:rRNA from 1 species
UUAGGGUUCGAUUCCGGAGAGGGAGCCUGAGAAACGGCUACCACAUCCAAGGAAGGCAGCAGGCGCGCAAAUUACCCAAUCCCAACACGGGGAGGUAGUGACAAUAAAUAACAAUAUGGGGCUCUUACGGGUCUCGUAAUUGGAAUGAGUACAAUUUAAAUCUCUUAACGAGGAACAAUUGGAGGGCAAGUCUGGUGCCAGCAGCCGCGGUAAUUCCAGCUCCAAUAGCGUAUAUUAAAGUUGUUGCAGUUAAAAAGCUCGUAGUUGAAUUUCGGAAUUUGUCGGUUGGUCGGGCUUCACUGUCCGCACUGGCYUGAUGGAUUCCUACCUUCUGAAUAACCAGCAUGCUAUUAAUUUAGUGCGUUGGGGAAGCAGAGCUAUUACCUUGAAAAAAUUAGAGUGCUUAAAGCAGGCUUUUGCUUGAAUAGAUUAGCAUGGAAUAAUAAAAUAGGACGGCAUGGUUCUAUUUUGUUGGUUUCUAGGAUCACCGUAAUGAUUAAUAGGGAUAGUUGGGGGCAUUAGUAUUCAAUUGUCAGAGGUGAAAUUCUUGGAUUUAUUGAAGACUAACUUCUGCGAAAGCAUUUGCCAAGGAUGUUUUCAUUAAUCAAGAACGAAAGUUAGGGGAUCGAAGACGAUCAGAUACCGUCGUAGUCUUAACCAUAAACUAUGCCGACUAGGGAUCGGACGAUGUUAAUUUUUUAAUGACUCGUUCGGCGCCUUACG